rnacentral:rRNA from 1 species
UAGAGCCUACGGGGGGCAGCAGUGGGGGAUAUUGCACAAUGGAGGGAACUCUGAUGCAGCGACGCCGCGUGAGUGAAGAAGUAUUUCGGUAUGUAAAGCUCUAUCAGCAGGGAAGAAAGAAAUGACGGUACCUGACUAAGAAGCCCCGGCUAACUACGUGCCAGCAGCCGCGGUAAUACGUAGGGGGCAAGCGUUAUCCGGAUUUACUGGGUGUAAAGGGAGCGUAGACGGCGAUGCAAGUCUGAAGUGAAAGGCGGGGGCCCAACCCCCGGACUGCUUUGGAAACUGGAUGGCUGGAGUGCAGG